AGCAUGACAAUGUUGGAGUCAGACAGGCAUUUUCUGCUGAUCAGUCCAUAGUGUUCUUACAAGAGAAUGAAAGCAAAGAGACCAUGAAGACAGUGCCCAAGGAACUUACCAGUCUGUAUGUAGGUAGAAACAGGCCCUGAAGAAUGCCCUAAAAUGAAGCAAGGCAAUUUCUUGAUCAUAAAGGAUCAAGAAAAAUAAUGGAUAACACACUACAAGAAUCGUGGACUUGCAGAGCUCUACCAUUAUUUGGGAUAUUAUCCCUGUUAUUUCACACAUGAAAAAAUUGAGUUAUAUCAAGUUGA